AUGAGAGACUGUGGUUUAGAAAGAAAAAAAAAAGCAGAAUUGGAGUACAACACACAAUAGACACGUACUGACACAGAAGUAGUUUUUCUUCUCUGUGAUUAUAGAUUCACAACAGGACUUUUCAACAUUUCUCCUUUUCUGAACUGCUGAAGAAAAUGUUUCACUCCUUUGUUUUUUGCUGUCUGUGCUUUUGGCAUCUGGUUGGUGUGUUUGCUGGUUCAGAUACAGUGAAGUCAGUGUCAGUGGGAAAUCCAGUCACUCUAGAAUCUGGUCUUACUGAAAUCAAGACAGAUUCUGAGAUAACAUGGAAAUUUGGACAACCAGAGACUAUUAUAUCUUACAUUAAUAAAGAGGGCUAAAAUCUUCAACACAUCUGAUGGUCCCUGAUGGGAGAUUCAGAGACAGACUGCAGCUAGGUCAUCAGACUGGAUCUCUUACCAUCACAGACACCCAAAACCACAGACUCUGGACUCUAUCAAAUAACCAUCAGUGAAACGACAGUCACCACAAACAGAUUCAGUGUUACUGUCUAUGAAGUCCCUGUCUAUUGUUGUGAUACUGUCGAAGCUGUGAUCCGGUUGGUCGUCACUGUUCUGAUGGGCGUGGCUGCUGCGGCUGCUGCUGUGCUUCUGAUCAAUGACAUCAGAUUUACAAGAGGUGAAAAGAAGAAAACAGAACAGAUAUAAAUAUUCUGACAUA